UACGUAGGGGGCAAGCGUUGUCCGGAUUUAUUGGGCGUAAAGAGCUCGUAGGUGGUUUGUCGCGUUGUCCGUGAAAACUCACAGCUUAACUGUGGGCGUGCGGGCGAUACGGGCAGACUGGAGUACUGCAGGGGAGACUGGGAUUCCUGGUGUAGCGGUGGAAUGCGCAGAUAUCAGGAGGAACACCGGUGGCGAAGGCGGGUCUCUGGGCAGUAACUGACGCUGAGGAGCGAAAGCGUGGGGAGCGAACAGG
rnacentral:rRNA from 1 species